UGUCAUUUCAGGCAAAGAGUGCAACCCUGCUCCUCCCCUUCCACCUCCAGUCAUCAUCACCCACGGCACCCUGGGUCUUCCUCCGGCAGACCUCUCCCGUUGACUCCUUCGGUCCGGUCUUCGGGCUACUUCACCACCACCACCACCAGUGUCCAGACUCCAUCGGGGGGAUAUGUCUCGGCUUUUCUACCCCUUUAAAAAAAUAUUUUUUAUAAAAAUGGAGUCUAAUCUUCAAAGACUCUUUACAUUUCAUAUAUGCAUAUGCACAAAUAAACUUUGCAUAUUUGCAACAAAGUCUCUCCUGAUUGAAAUGGUGGAGUGCAACCUCAUCGAUGGAUGGCUGGAGUUGCCGGGAAACGCUGUGGAUCCUGGGGUUAUUGUGUAUAGCUUUAUUGAUGCUUUGAAUUCAAAUGAAUUAAAAGUAAAAAAUUGUAUGAGUAUGAGUAUAAUAUAAUAUUUUCAUGACAUUUAAUUGAGGUUAAGCUGGAUUUAAUGUAAGCAGAAUUGCUGCUUCCUAUUGAAACAGUCAUGGAAAAUGCGAGAGGAAACAGACUGUUUUGACCAUUUGCUGAUGGGGCUGCAUAAGGGUUCAGCAGCUCCUUCAACAAUGAGGAUUGUGAUUUUAAAUGUCAUUGCCAGCGUGAAGCGGCAUUCCGGCAAAAUAGUCCAAGUAGGUCAAGAAGCAUUGUAUUCUCAUCCUCUGCAGAAAAUGCAUAGCGAUAACAAAGGGCACAGAGCAUAGGCAGAAGCCUGUCCUGCAUUUGACAUUGACUAUCUCUACUUUCACCGAAAAAGACUGAAACAUUCACAAUCUAUAGUCUAUAAUUUGCCGCUUAUCAGCAAGUCCGACCAUCAAAUAAUAGUUUCUGAAAUGUUUGGGCCUAUUUUUCAUUUUGACAAUGCAUAAAAUGGAACUGCUCAACUUUUCAAAUGAGCUGCCGCAUCUUGCAAUGGAGGAAGACAACUACUGAAUUGCUUUCAAAAGUGAAAAACACUGGUACACAACAGUCUUCCAUAUUUAGAGACAUAAAAACAUCAGAAGCACAAUUCAGGUACUGUUAAUAUCUAUUUGCCUGACAAGGCAGUGUCCUUGAACAACAUAAAUCAAUUUUGUGUAAAACGUUUAUUGACCUUUAAAAAUGUUGAGAGAUCACUGUUAUUUCUGUCAGCCUUUGACUUUGACUGUCUGUCUGACGUGACUCCUAACAUUGCACUCAAUGAUAAUGUCGGAUUUCAGAAUCCUAUCAAAUAUAUACAGUAUGAAUCCCUGAUAUUGCGAUAUCAGAUAUUGGUUAUUUGCAUAUAAAAACCUUUCUGCUCCAGAGAAAAGAUUGCUUCGGGAUGCUGCAUCUACAAAGUGCUCCUACAAUAUAUGAAUAUACAGUAUGCCAUGCAAAAAAUAUAAAAUUAUAAUGGAAAGAGUUAAUUAUUCAGAACCUUUUUUGCAAAUUAACCUUAUAAGUCUUCAAAACAUAAAAAUAGGUUAUUUAUCAUGUGAAAGUGUACUUGUACUUUUACCAUGAAGUACAUUUGUCAUAAAAUCAGAGAAAAUAUAAGUGGAGUCUUGUGAGAUAAUUACCCUUGGCUAUGGUAUAUGCCUAUGAUCUACAACCCUUGCUAGAGAGAAGAUGCUGAAGAAAAUAGAGGCACACAACGGGAUCAAUAUCUAUUUCAUGCUUCUGUAGAACAAUUGGCCCUGUACAAUGUAUUGGUGCAACAACUCAAUUUUGACCUGCUCUGUGUGUAUGAAUUGGUAUUAAGGAGUUUGGUCACAUAGAGCCUGAUGACGCCUGUAAGUUUUAUGUUACAGUCAAAUAAAAUAACACAGAGUCAUUUUUAUCAUUAGUGCAGCUCCAGCUCAGCAGGGCCCUUCUGUUUUUCUGGGACAAUGCACCAUGUUUGUUGUGGUUAUGGAUAUCCUGUUGCCUGUUUGCGUAUUUCUGUAUGUUUCCUGUUUUGUAUAUUUAUUCUGUAUAUUUCUGUUCCUGUUUUGUGUUUUCUGAGUAGUGUAUGUUUCUGUUUCCUGUUUUAUUUUGAUAGUCUGUUUUUUGUCUUGUCGUGUCUAGUUUGCUUCCUGCGUUUUCCCGCCUGUGUCAUUGUCUAAUGUGCUCCACCUGUUCCCCAGCCCUGUUGUCACCUGUGUUUGCUCGUUACCUAGUUUAUUUAGCCUCUGUGUUUCCAUUGUCUCUUGUCAGAUCGUUGUUUGUGUUCGUGUCUUGCCUGGUCAGUUUGUUCCUGUCAGCGGUUUUCACCCAUGUGGCUGUAUUUGGUUUUCCUGUGAUCUUUUGUUCCUGUUAGUUUUUGCUUUUUGGAUCUCCUUCGGUUUGCUCCCUGUUUUUUGUGUUUAAUAAACCCUUGAGCUCAACCUUC